rnacentral:rRNA from 1 species
UACAGAGGUGGCAAGCGUUGUUCGGAAUUACUGGGCGUAAAGGGCGCGUAGGCGGUCUUCUAAGUCCUGUGUGAAAUCCCUCGGCUCAACUGAGGAACUGCACGGGAUACUGGAUGACUUGAGUUCGGGAGAGGGAAGCGGAAUUCCGGGUGUAGCGGUGAAAUGCGUAGAUAUCCGGAGGAACACCGGUGGCGAAGGCGGCUUCCUGGACCGAUACUGACGCUGAGGCACGAAAGCGUGGGGAGCAAACAGG